rnacentral:rRNA from 1 species
UACGUAGGGUGCGAGCGUUAAUCGGAAUUACUGGGCGUAAAGCGUGCGCAGGCGGUUAUGUAAGACAGCUGUGAAAUCCCCGGGCUCAACCUGGGAAUUGCAUUUGUGACUGCACGGCUAGAGUGUGUCAGAGGGGGGUAGAAUUCCACGUGUAGCAGUGAAAUGCGUAGAGAUGUGGAGGAAUACCGAUGGCGAAGGCAGCCCCCUGGGAUAACACUGACGCUCAUGCACGAAAGCGUGGGGAGCAAACAGG